GUCUACGGCCAUACCACCCGAAUGCACCUGAUCUCGGAAGCUAAGCAGGGUCGGACCUGGUUAGUACUGCCCUGGCUAAUGUGGCUC
rnacentral:rRNA from 1 species